rnacentral:lncRNA from 1 species
UUUUUGAGGAACCGCUAUACUGUUUUCCAUAAUGACUGAACUAUUUUACAUUCCCAUCAACAGUGCACCAGGGUUCUGAUCUGAUUUCUCUAUUACUUUGCCCAACACUUAUUUCUUUAUUUGAUAGUAGCCAUUCUGAUGGGUGUGAGGUAGUAUCUCAUUAUAGUUUUAAUCUGCAUUUCCCUAGUGAUUUGUGGUCACUCAUUUUUACAGAUAAGAAAACCAAGGCCCAGUCAAGUCUUAUAAUUUGUUUGCAACAGAACCCAGAUUGGAAUAAAGGUUUCCCAACAGCCUUUGUUGUUCACCAUGUAUUUCUGUCUCCUUCUCUGUUCAAAUAGCCUCACCUCCAAAUCCCCUCUUCCCCAAUUCCUGUCACACACAUGAAAAAGGGUCUGAAAGGGUGUCAGCUCUAUUUUACAUGAACUCAAUGAGGCUGGGAUUAAAAAAUAUUAGUGUCCCUUAAGCUGGCAAGAGGAGCAGGGUUGAUCAGCCUGUUUCUGGAAAUGUUU